ensembl:snRNA U6 U6 spliceosomal RNA
GUGCUCGCUUUGUCAGCACAUACACUAAAAUUGAAACAAUACAGAAAUUAGCAUGGCCCCUGCGCGAGGAUGACAAUCAGGUUGUCUUAAAUAAACAGAAAACAG